UGUUUAUCAUUUUAUGCUAAUGAUCCUAUUGUCUGUCUCGAUAACAAUAAAAUCCACAAACAAUUCAAUUAUUGGCCAAGUAAUUGAAAAGCAAACUAAACCAUAAUAAACAUCCAAGUUUUCAAACAAAUUUGACGUCAAUCUAAUUAUUAAAACUAAAAAUUCAUAACAGUUCAUCACAUCUUAGCAGUAUAAAAAAAUUAGCCAAACAUAUUGUUGGAAUUAAACAAAGAAAAGUGGAAAGAUAUCACCCAAAAAUCGAUGAAACGUGACGAAUUCCACAAUGUUGUUGGCUGCCAAUUCAUUUUCCUAUGGCUUGUAUAUGGUAUCAAUUAACUUUGCAAUUGUCCUCAAUUUAGCCGGCCGACCAAGUGUAUUUGCCAUUUGUAAAUUCCAGCAAUUGUCCCCAAGCUGCUGGAUUUCUUUUUCUCCAAAGGACUCCUCCAAGCU
rnacentral:lncRNA from 1 species